GCACUGCGCCGGGGCCCCCGUUCAACAACUCAGCGAUGAGAACGCGUUUCACUUAUCUGCGGUCUCUACUAUUUAAACUUUUUUUAAAACUCAGUGCAUUUUGGUUUUCCGCGCCUUUUGAUCGGUUGCCCAUAUCAUUUGAUCUUUUGUACGUCUAUCAAAGUUUUGGAGGGUAGAACAUUUUGGAAAUUACAACGUUGUGUACCUCGCUGAUCGACUGUAAAUUGCUAUGAUUGUACGCUUUUCGUUUAUGAUUGCAGGUUAUCGUUUACGAGGCAUAUCAUUUGUGGGGAUUCCAGGGAGUAUUUGAAAAAAAAUUUUGCCUUUCGCCAAAGGAUUUUCUCCUCUGUUGCCUCGACGACGCUGCUUAUUGAUGUACUGAA